rnacentral:snRNA from 1 species
UGCCUCGCUUCGGCAGCACGUAUAUAAAAUUGGAACGAUACAGAGAAGAUUAGCAUGGCCCUACGCAAGGAUGACAUGCAAAUUCAUGAAGUGUUCCAUAUUAAA